GGACUUGAGUACAGAAGAGGAGAGUGGAAUUCCACGUGUAGCGGUGAAAUGCGUAGAGAUGUGGAGGAACACCAGUGGCGAAGGCGACUCUCUGGUCUGUAACUGACGCUGAGGCGCGAAAGCGUGGGGAGCGAACAGGAUUAGAUACCCUGGUAGUCCACGCCGUAAACGAUGAGUGCUAGGUGUUAGGGGGUUUCCGCCCCUUAGUGCUGAAGUUAACGCAUUAAGCACUCCGCCUGGGGAGUACGGCCGCAAGGCUGAAACUCAAAAGAAUUGACGGGGGCCCGCACAAGCGGUGGAGCAUGUGGUUUAAUUCGACGCAACGCGAAGAACCUUACCAGGUCUUGACAUCCUCUGCAAUCGGUAGAGAUACCGAGUUCCCUUCGGGGACAGAGUGACAGGUGGUGCAUGGUUGUCGUCAGCUCGUGUCGUGAGAUGUUGGGUUAAGUCCCGCAACGAGCGCAACCCUUGAUCUUAGUUGCCAGCAUUUAGUUGGGCACUCUAAGGUGACUGCCGGUGACAAACCGGAGGAAGGUGGGGAUGACGUCAAAUCAUCAUGCCCCUUAUGACCUGGGCUACACACGUGCUACAAUGGAUGGAACAAAGGGAAGCAAAACCGCGAGGUCAAGCAAAUCCCAUAAAACCAUUCUCAGUUCGGAUUGCAGGCUGCAACUCGCCUGCAUGAAGCCGGAAUCGCUAGUAAUCGCGGAUCAGCAUGCCGCGGUGAAUACGUUCCCGGGCCUUGUACACACC
rnacentral:rRNA from 1 species